AACGAACGCUGGCGGCAGGCCUAAUACAUGCAAGUCGAACGAUCCUUCGGGAUAGUGGCGCACGGGUGAGUAACACGUGGGAACAUACCCUUGGGUGCGGAACAACGUCGGGAAACUGACGCUAAUACCGCAUAAUGACUCCGGUCCAAAGAUUUAUCGCCCAAGGAUUGGCCCGCGCUAGAUUAGGUUGUUGGUGAGGUAACGGCUCACCAAGCCUACGAUCUAUAGCUGGUCUGAGAGGAUGAUCAGCCACACUGGGACUGAGACACGGCCCAGACUCCUACGGGAGGCAGCAGUAAGGAAUAUUGGACAAUGGGGGCAACCCUGAUCCAGCCAUGCCGCGUGAGUGAAGAAGGCCUUAGGGUUGUAAAGCUCUUUCAGCCGGGAAGAAAACGCAUGGGUUAAUACCCUGUGUGGAUGACGGUACCGGAAUAAGAAGCACCGGCUAACUACGUGCCAGCAGCCGCGGUAAAGUACAGUGU
rnacentral:rRNA from 1 species